rnacentral:lncRNA from 1 species
CUCCAAAAACAGAGAUCUGAGAUAUGUACCUUAAUUAUAAACGAAAUUCAAUUAAUCCGAGAUCGAGAGAAUUAAAGAUAAAACCAAUCGAUCUGGCUGAACCAAUUACGACUUCAUGCAAAUCGAUUCACUUCAAAAAUCAACUUGGAAAAUUUCCAAAGAGCGAAAUUGAAGAGAUCUGUAGGCGUCGGACGGCUGAUUAAACGAAACCGCAGCGUAAAAUGUCAAUAUAUAACUGAGGACAAGUAGGGAUAGUUAUUGGAAUUAUCUCCUUUUUAAAAAAUUACUCAAAAUGCCAUGCUCUUUGUGUAUAAAUAUUUU